AUGGCCUCGAUCUGUUGUGCCUCUAUAUUUAUUCUUUGCAAAAUGCAAUGAAUAUUUACAGAGCUGACCAUGGCCGUUUGAGAAUCAGAGGGAUGGAAAGGCAAUGAAGUGACUUGGCCUACAGGUCUUGUGAGCAGGAGCUGGGGUUUCCUUAGAAGAAGCGUCCGUGUCAUGAUCCCCUCGUGUGUGGUGCUACGCAUAUGGAGGGAGCAUCCGGAUACUUCAGGGCAGUACGUUGGAUUCAGACCCCUUGUCGACUGAACCGUGACUCAUGUUCAGCAACAGCAUCCUCCAUGGAAGGUCUGUCAAGCUGAGCACACAAGUCCUGGGGCACAGGAAUCCGCUGGACGGCAUCCCAAUCAGGUAGAGGGGUCAGCCUGUUGUGUGUGAAUCGAUAAGUUCUUUUUAGUGCCUAUACUGUUGCACAUUUUGAUUUGUUGUUUGUAAUAAAAAAGUAUAUUUUAUUAAA